rnacentral:rRNA from 1 species
GGGCCCGCACAAGCGGUGGAGCAUGUGGUUUAAUUCGAUGAUACGCGAGGAACCUUACCAGGACUUAAAUGUAAGUUGCAUGAUUCAGAAAUGAAUCUUUCUUCGGACUACUUACAAGGUGCUGCAUGGUUGUCGUCAGCUCGUGCCGUGAGGUGUCAGGUUAAGUCCGGCAACGAGCGCAACCCACAUCCCUAGUUGCCAGCAGUUCGGCUGGGCACUCUAUGGAAACUGCCCGUGAUAAGCGGGAGGAAGGUGUGGAUGACGUCAAGUCCUCAUGGCCCUUACGGGUUGGGCUACACACGUGCUACAAUGGUAGUGACAAUGGGUUAAAUCCCAAAAAGCUAUCUCAGUUCGGAUUGUCCUCUGCAACUCGAGGGCAUG